rnacentral:lncRNA from 1 species
AGUUUGGUCUCAGGUCUAACCAUUGACUCUUCUAACCUUAUUAGCAAUUACUCAAAUUAAAAAAAAAAAAAAGCAUAGAGUUUCUUUAGAAUCCUCUUUUAAAAUCCUUCCCUUUUAAUUUGGAAUAUAGUGGCUUGGGAGAGCUGGAAGUCGAAAAACAAAGCGAUUCAUUCUCUGGCCAAGAAAUGUUCAGAAGCAACAAUGGUCAUGUUUAUACUACCAUGGCAAAAAGAGAAUGCUUAAAUUAAACCAUUACUGAUUUAAAUUCAUGAACUAAGAUAAUUGAUAUUGAAUAUUGAAAUUAAAGACUGCAUUUGUGUUCUUAAGUCUGCCUGGUGGAGAACAUUUGAGUAAUAUUUGUCUUUAAAGAGUACGUGGGUGAUGAACCCUGAAAAUAGCCUUCCUUCUAUAUCAAAUAUGACUUUAACAAAACAAGUUGGACUACAUUCAAAUCUGCUUACAUAAAUGGAGUUUGUAAUUUUUCUUAAUGAUUUGAGAUUCUAUAGUAAUUUCACGGCCACAUGUGGAUUUGAAGAGAUAUAAGCUUUACAAAAAUCUAACAUAAAUUAAACUUCAUUCUAUAUUUAUUCAAUACAUAUUCUUGUUUCAGGAGAAAAUAUUUACUGGAUGAUACCUUUGUGAGAACCAUUCUCAGUAGCAGAUUGUUAUAAUGACAUGGUUUCUUGCUUUAACAAAAAAUAAAUGGUAUCAUUUAAAAAAGAAAAAGAAAAAAAAAGCUCUCCCCAUUGGUGGCCUGGGAAGGGAGCACAUGGUGACGCUCAGCAGCUAUCUCAGCUGCAGCCCUCCUGGCAGGGUGGGGUGGAAGGCAGGCAGUUCUCUGCUCUGAGGCUGCAAAUGUGGAGGCAGCAGAGCCCAGGGAAGUCAGGUGCCCUGGCCGCUGCCCCUGUACUCCAGCCACUGUCCUGGGGGCAGUGAAUGCUGAGACAGGGUCCAGGUGGAAAGCUGGAAUCGCUUGGAUUUCCCCAGAGCAUCCCUUGUCACCAUGUCAUAUUCUGCCAGGCAGCCUACAGCAUCCAACAGCAUCUCAGAAAUGGGGACUGUCUGGGGUCACUGAGCAGCCCGUUGUCCACCUCUCUGACCAGCCUGUGAAGUGCACAGCCUCCAGAAAGUGUGCCCUGAGCAGGAGGCUCUGCAGCCCCUUCCUCACACACCAGAGCCCCCAAAAAGAAUUUCAUGAUUGUCCUAACAUUUCCCCACACAGAACUAAAAGGACUGAUGUGAGUAUACCUAUGUAACAAACCGUCACAUGUUCCCCCGAACCUAAAAUCAAAGUUUCAAAAAAAAAAGGGGGUGUGUGUUUGCCCUAUCUUCUUUGUCUUUCUCUCGCCCUCUCUCACCUUCCUCACCGUCUCCCUUCUGCCUUGGGAUAAUAUAGCAAGAAGGCUGGCUCUUGAAAGACACUGACACCUGAUAUUGGACUUCUCAGCCUCCAUAACUGUGAGCCAGUGAAUUUCUGUUCAUUAUAAAUCACCCAGUCUCAAGUAUUUUGUUAUAGUAGCACAAAUGGACUUAGACAGAAAAUUGGUAUCAAGAAGUGGAGGUUGUGCCAUAACAAACACAUGAAAAUGUAGAAGCAGCUUUGAAACUGGGCAAUGGGUAGAGACUGGAAGAGUUUGGAGAAGCUGACUGGAAAUAGCUUGUAUUGCCAUGAAAGGAGCAUUAAGAGCAAUUCUAGUGAGGAGUCAGAGGAAGAAAGGGGCUGUAGGGAAAGUCUGAAUCUUCCUAGAGAUUACUAAGUGGUCGUGAUCAGAAUGUUGGUAGAAAUAAGGACAGUCAAGGCAAUUCUGAUGAGGUCUCAAGUUGAAAUGAGAGAAAAGGUACCAGACACUGGAGUAAAAGCCACCUUGUUACAAAGUGGCAAAGACCUUAGCUAAAUUGUGUCCACCCCAAGUGCUUUGUGAAAGGCAGAAUGUAAGAGAAAUGAACUAGAACACCUGGUCAAAGAAAUAUCUAAGCAACGAAGUAUUCAGGGUGCGGUGUGGCUUCUCAUAACUGUGUAUACUAAAUUUUGAGAAGAGAAAAUUUAUUUAAAAACAAAAUUGUAUAGUUAAAAGAAAAACAUAGUUUAAGGAUUUGAAGGAUUCUCA